UACGUAGGUGGCAAGCGUUGUCCGGAUUUACUGGGCGUAAAGGGAGCGUAGGCGGACUUUUAAGUGAGAUGUGAAAUACCCGGGCUCAACUUGGGUGCUGCAUUUCAAACUGGAAGUCUAGAGUGCAGGAGAGGAGAAUGGAAUUCCUAGUGUAGCGGCGAAAUGCGUAGAUAUUAGGAGGAACACCAGUGGCGAAGGCGACUUACUGGACUGUAACUGACGCUGAGUCACGAAAGCGUGGGUAGCAAACAGGAUUAGAUACCCCGGUAGU
rnacentral:rRNA from 1 species